GUUUAUUCACAAGGUCAUCACUUUUCCUCAGCAGUAAGCAUGUGCAUCAGAUGGCCCAGCUACAGAGGCUUCUCUGGUGUCCAACAGCAGUGUUGCAUGUCCUAGAGAGGCAGUUCUGUUCACAUGCUCUGUGCCUGGUGAUAUGUCUAGUGUACUGAGAUGGCAAGUCGAUCCUCCAGCAGAGUCUGGGUUAAUGACUAUGCAAAGUACACUCUUCCUUGGUUC